UCUAUCUUUGUUCACUUUCCCCCCGUUUUUUUUCUAUGUUUAGAGAACUAAUUUUUGAAAUGGGAUUUCAUUUCUGUUUGUCUUAAUUUCUGCAGCAAGGCGUUUAAAAAUGGAGAGUCCUCGACCAGUUAAUACCGAGAAUGAUAAAGGAAUUCUUGGAACAAAACAAGAACUUCCAGAUGUUGAAGAUUUAGCAGCAAUGGAUUACACUCCUGCGAGAAAGAAAACUCCAAUUCAUAACUAGAAUGGUGAACUUUGUUAGACAAAUUAGUCUCCUUUUGCUACACACAUGUAUGCUGCCUAUAUAUAUGUAUAGAAGUGCAUAAUAUAUUGGAUAUAUAAUAAGAGAUGUAUAUCCACAGAGAGUGCUUAGAUUAGGAAUAGGGAAUCCCCCAGUUAGGGUUUUUGAGAUAUGUUGUCUCUUGUGCACAACCUGACUGUGAAUAUAUUCCACAUUCAAACCCAUUUUCGACAUAGCAAACGAUCGAAUUGGAAAAUGAUGCCUGAAGCAAAAUUGUACCUUUCCUUCAAAUAGGGGCUAAGUUAGUAAUCUUUCUCUGAAGUGUGAGUUUGUUUUCUGUGAGUUAUUGAUUAAAACCUUAACUACUCAAUAAGUUAAUUGUAAUUUAUUUUAUAGAAAGUGGGUUCUCAAUGGACGGCCUUUGUCCUUUUGAUGUUAAAAUGUCAUGUAUUUUUAAUGAAAAAUAAAUGAAAACGAAAGAUAAAAGAAAAAGAGAAAAGUCUAACACAUCCUAUAGGGUUAAAUGCACAAAUGGUGCAUGAAAUAAAAUUAUACAUAAACUCAGCUUUGUAGCAUAAUCAUAUAUAAACUCAUAAAUGUAUAUCUCAUUCAUACAUGGAUUAAUUUUCAUCAUUCAAAACAAAUAAAAUAAUAUAAUUGACGUGUCACUUAGGGUUUCAAAAAGCUCCAACACCAAACAAGACAUACUCGAAAGGAACUAGUGUGGAAAGGCCUUUCUUGGCCGACCACCCCUUAGCCCAAGGUCAAAACCAAACUUUGCAGAUUGUAAAUAACCUAACACGGUCACAUGACAUUGUUCAAUUCAGCACAUUCAUGUCUUCACAAAUUGUACCUUACACCUUUAUUCAUCUUAAAUUCUUUUUCAAUAUGGGUCCAAUUAAUCACAAAUCUAGGUAUAGUAGCAAGGUGUCUUGUGUGUGUAAAUCCAACAUAUAAUAUCACGGUUUUGUCGAUAGAGAUGGUUUUAAUACCAAAUUCAUUGCAUUUACAUAAUUCAAUGUACGUUGAUUGACAACAGAAUAAAUAGUUCACAUUGAGUCAAAGAUAAACGCGUAGCAUUUAUAUAUAGGUGUUCAAUGAACUAUAAAGAGAAGCAAUGGUUAUUUAGAAAGGGUGAACUUAGUUUAGGAUUCGAAGUGUACAAGAAAGGGGACAUUUGUUAAACAUGUUUGCUUUUAACCAUAAUAUCUUUCUCUAGUCGAAGGAAUCUUAGCAACGAAAAUAAGUAAAUUAUAACAAAAAGAAACCCGUCUUCUUGGAAAACAAAAUUCCAAAGGAAUGCAACUUAGAUUUGAUCUUGUUUUACCACAGGCAACUUGGAAUAGGAAACAAUAUUGGUAAAAAUGAAAAUGGCACACGCUACCAUCAUUGUGGUUGCCAUUUUCAUUUUAAUUCUUCUUAGGCAGAUCGAGGCAUAUUGGCUUGGCUUGCGAAAAACAAAUAGUUACUAGAUGAUUGGUUGAUAGGUACGUGGCUAGCAAAGAACUCAAAAAUAAAUUGAAAAAAGAAAAAAACUAAUGCGGUAAUGCCCUAGGCCAGGAAGUCGAUAUUGAAAUUGUAAUAAAUGAGACUAAUGUUAUAUUCAUAUAAUAUUCUACGUGAUACAACAUUAAACAUUUAACUAUUGUAGUCUAUUAGUCUUGUGAUUUCAAGAAAAGGUUUGAUCGAAAACUAUAGUUUAGGAAAGACAAAUUAAUUCCGUCAACCAAAGAACAAGGAAAUUGAUCUUGAUCUUUUGUAUAGUCGACUGAAGCAUUAGGCACUUAAACGGUUGCCUAAGGUUUCCGAUUCAUAGAAGGCUUUUAACUUUUAAUAUUUUUUUUGCCAAUUUUUUUGGGAUAAAUGAUAUUUUUUAGUUGUUAUUUCAGUUACUAAAUUUUCAAAAUGAAAACAUGCACAAUAUUGAUGUUUCUAGGAUCAAUUCAAUGGCCUUCUUUCUUUAUUUGAAAAUAUAGUGAAAAUGGAUUUGGAUGUGUUAUGAUUUCAGCCAAAACGGGAAGUAGAAUCCAUAUUUUGUGCUUACAUAUAGAAUAUUGGUCCCAAUUCUUGUGCCAAUUUAUUUGUCUAGAAGAGUUUUUCAAAAUUGAAAUGGAUAAAGCCAUGUCUGUGAUCAACUGUGUCACGAGAAACAUUAAGUGAAUUAUCUCUAUUGUCAAUUGAACAUGAUUUACUAGAUUAAGCUUGAUAAAUAUAAUGAUUUAAAUAAUAAUUUAGAAUUUGAAAUGGAAGAUUUUUUCUUAACAACUUAAAAGUUAGAUGGGUACAAAUAAAUUAACAACUUAAAAUGCAUAGAAUGGCAAAUUCCAAUUUGGUGUGAAAAAUGCAAUAAUUAAUUCGAUGUGACCAACUCUGUCACAAAAAUUAAUUCCCAUCUAGACUAUUCCUUAUUCCACGCGAAACACCGCCCUUGAGUACGAACCAUAUAUACUAUGCAAAUUUCAUAGCCAUGCACGUGAUGGACCAUCCAUGUCAAAUUUUCAUGUUCUGCUACACUUAGGCAAGGAAAUAUCAUAUGAAACUUUCCCAAAGACGUUUGUGACUAUAUUUGUCGGCUGGAUAUUCAUUGAUUUUCAGGGUAUGGGACCCCCCUUGUCUGAGAGAAGAAGAUCAUAGAUUUGUUUCGAUGGCUGUCGGGAUCUUAAGGCGAUGGUUGCUGACAGUGGCUCCUCAUUUUUCAAAUAUGAUCCUGUUUAUUGGAAAUUAAAAUCAAAUUUUGAUAAAAACUGAUAUAUAUAUAUAUAUAUAUAUAUAUAGUUGAAAAUUUGUGAAUCUCAUAAAAUAUGUGAUUAAAAUUAAUUGUUGACUUUCAGUUAGAUUUUAAUAUAUAUUUGUUUUAGUUGAAGCAAAUAUGGAGGAUAUAGGUUAAUUUAAAUCAAAGGGUUUAUAUAUAUAUAUAUAUAUAUAUAUAUAUAUAUCCCCUAUCUGGUAAAAAUUAAAUUUUAGAUUUCAAUAUAAGUCAAUGUUAACAAUUAAUUUUGAUCACAUAUUUCAUGAAAGUCCUAACUUUUUACUACACAUUCUAUCAAAUUUUUACUAAAUUUUACUAAAAAUCUGAUUUUUAUCCAAAUUAAACAGUCGCAUUUUUUGCACUGGAAUGGAAAUUGACCAUAACCAAGCUAUCCACAUACAUUUUUUUUUUUUUUUGAAACAAAACUAUUACUAGCGCUUUUGAAAUUAAUUACUUCUUUUGGGGUUUAUAUAUAUAUCCCCUAUCUGGUAAAAAUUAAAUUUUAGAUUUCAAUAUAAGUCAAUGUUAACAAUUAAUUUUGAUCACAUAUUUCAUGAAAGUCCUAACUUUUUACUACACAUUCUAUCAAAUUUUUACUAAAUUUUACUAAAAAUCUGAUUUUUAUCCAAAUUAAACAGUCGCAUUUUUUGCACUGGAAUGGAAAUUGACCAAACCAAAGCUACCCACAUACUUUUUUUUUUUUUUUGAAACAAAACUAUUACUAGCGCUUUUGAAAUUAAUUACUUCCUGUGGUGUCUUCUGAAAGAAAAAAAUAAAUAAAUAAAAAUGAUAAGUCUUGGUAUGCAUAAAACAUGUACAUAGGGGUAUCCUUACAACCUCAUGCGGGUCCCACACCAUGUGAAGGGUUUGGACACCCCUAUGUACCCAAAUUAUGUACACCAAGCACUAUCCAAAAUAAAUGAUGAUGACAACACUAUGUGGCAACUUUCGCUCAACUUAAUAGAUUUUGGAGCUGGUUUUGAAUCUGGUUGACAAUCGAAAUAAUAGGAACAGGGGUCAAAAACUCUCCGAUGCAUAAAUUAAUGAGGUAGGAUAUGUUCUAACCUCAAAUAUAUUUCUUAGAGAAAGUAGUGAGGGAUGCAGACGUUUCUAGGUGGAAAUGGUUCCCUUAUAUUUUAUAUAUGUUUAUAAAUUGACACCGCCUCCAAACAACUAGAUCCCGAUCCUAAACUGUCUUAUCAACGUCGAUUGGUAGGCUAGAUUAACAUAGUGUGUGCCUCGAACCCAUUUUUUAAUAUAAUGAUCACUUCAAUACAUAUUCCUUAAAGGCAAAAUUUUCCGUUCAACCUAUAAAGUAGAUCACAAUGUUUAGGUUUAGGCUUUGGUAUUAAGGGUUUAGCAUAAUAUGAUUAGUGAGCUUAAUAGUCUUGCCAUCCUACAAUAUUGACUUUUAGGCCUCUGACUGUGUUGUGAAUAAGAUGGUGUUCACUAACUGUCGAUAUAUUACUCUAGCAUCAUUUUGUAAUAGUACAGUUUUUUAUUACGAGAUAUGUUCUUGGUUAGGCUUCUACAUUAGGAUUUGGUUGUAACGUAUGAGGUGUCCAUGAAACUGAGCAGCUUGUACCCUACCGUGGCAUCCAUCAUUUUUGAUCUACUUGGAGGAGGGGGAAAGAUUGUCCUCUAGACAAGCCUUGUUAAGGUUAGUGAAAUCUAUGCACAUUUCCAAUCACUUUUGCUCCAUUACAAGGACCGGCUUGGCGACCUACUACGAAUGUAGUGCCUCUCUCAUGAAUCCAUUUCUUAGGACCUUCUACAACUCCUUUCAUAGAGCUUUGUAUCUUUUUGGAUUCGAGACGUCUUCUCUGUUGCUUAGAUUGAAGUCCGAGGUCGAUGUUAAGCUCGUGACAAACAACUUUAGGAUCGACUCCCUUCAUGUCUUGGUUGCUCCAUGUGGCAUAUCAAAAUUAUUUCUUCGAAAAUUCUCAAGCCUGGAAUCGAAUGGUUGCCCAGCUCGUGCCCUAUGCAGAGUUCUUUUUAAGAAUGUUUCGAGCUUUUUUAGAUUUUAUCCAAUUCUUCGAUCAAAUAGUGGAAUAAAAGGCCUUGACUCAACCUUGAACCUAGGCACCAUUUAAGUGUAAACUUUGACACAAUCGGCAUAAACUUCUGCGCAAUAACACCAUGUGUUCACAUAACAAACUGCAUAAUAAAUGCCAUAAAAGCACAAGCCUCAACUAGAAUUGUUAAGAUUUGAGGUUCCAUCCUAAAAGGUCAACCUUAUUAAGAAGAGUAGUACAAUAUCUUUCUAAGUUGGUCAAUAUUUUGAUAUUUAACCAAUGUGGGAUAAUCUCUUAACAUGUGUUAUCCUACAUUGUUUUAAUAUCGAAAUAAAUACUAAUUUAUAAAGAUCUUGGGUUUCUUCCCUUAAUAAGAUUGACCUUAUUAAGAUGAACCACAAGUUUUAAUGUGGUAUCAGAUCCACCCCGUGGAUUUCAAAAUUCGUCUGCUCAAAUGAGCCACCAUCUUGAGGGGGUCUGUUAAGGGAUAUGUUAUCCCAUAUCAUUUAAAUAUCAAAAUAUUGACUAACUUAAAAAGAUUUUGGGCUACUCCUCUUAAUAAAGUCGAUCUUUUAAGAUGGAAUCCCAACCGAUGUCUGAUUUUUAUCCCUUGAUAAAAAUCAUUGACUACUUAGAAAAGAAAGGGGAACAAAAAGAGUACGAUGUAGAGGAAAUCAAAGAAAAGUAUUUAGUUAUAGAUUGGAUUGCCUGUCGAGUGUGCUUUAAAAGACCAAUAAAAAUCAAACAAUUAUUUAUCUAUGGAGAACCAAGCACACAGAAAACCCUACUUUUAAACUUGUUAUCAAAGGUAAUAAGAAUCUAUUUUGCCAGCAUCAGAAGAAAUGACUAUUAUGACUUAUGGGCCUUCGAUGAGUUUCAUGAACAUAGUGAGCAAAGCCAACAUAGAGGGAAAAGUAUAGGAUCUACUAUGGAGGGGACCUCCUUCGUUAACAAACUUUUGAAAGUAUCUGAUGGACAAGAAUGUAGACUAGAUUCCAAAUAUUCAAAAGUUUUCAACAUGUGAGCUUGGUUGGGAAACAUGAAAUUUUUAAAAGUUCAUUUUUAUGUGUUAAUAUAAGUUUAAUUAUUUAAGUGGAAUUUAUUGUACUUAAAAGUUAUGGACUUCGUUUACAAUUUUUCCUUAAUUUUUGUUGUUUUAUUUUCUUUUAUUAUUGUUUACUUAAAAAGAGUGACUAAUCCGUCUUUUAAUGACUAAAAUUGAGGGAAUGACGAAUUUUGCUACAUAAUUGAAAGGUUGAGAAUGGAUUGUGCUAAAAAAAAAAAAUGCUACGGAUAGAUUUAUUAUAUUUGUAAACGUUGAGGACGAAAAAUGCAAAUUUCCCAUGCUAAUUUUCCACAAAGCACCUGGAAAGGAACAUGGAAGGAAAUGUGUUGGAACAAAAGGACAAAGCUAGAAAAUUGCACAAAAAUAUGAAGGGCGUUUCUAAAUGCACCAAAAAAUAUCUAAGUUCACAUCCCUUAAUUUAAUUAUUUUCUUUAUCAAUUAUUUAUUUUGAUAUAACAAUUUUAUUUAUAUUUUCUUUAACAUUAAAUAUUACCCUUUUUCUGCUCCUUCACCAUACCACUCAUUAUCAUUAAUAAUGUCAAAAAAAAUUUAAGUCGAACUUUGAGUAUCUAUGUGUUUGUUCCGUUGACAAAUGUUCACCGUGAAAUUUGGGCACUCAGCGUACACGAAAGGUCCAUCUCAAUGCUUCUUAGGAGUUCAUGGACACUUUCGUAUUUAUGCCAAUUCCAUCAACUAAGUGGUUGAUGCAUAAAUGCAGAAAUAGAUGCUUGAUUGUGGAGGAUCCAGCAAGACAAUGAGCAACACCAAACUAGGUUUUAGGAUCUUGUACAAUUUUGAUUGAUACAGACAAUUAUAUGAGUAAAAUGGUCUAAUAUUGGAGAAUCAAAAUUAAUUGGCGUACUUAUAAAGUUCAAUGAGCCAUUGAAAUAAUUAGAUAAAGGAUCCAUGAAACUAAUUUUAAUAAGGAAAUUUGUCCUCGCAGGUGAGGCAUAUUUUGUUCUUGUAGUAAUGUUGUUCGGAGGAAUUAAUCUUCCCAUAUUUCUUAUAUCCCGUUACUUUAACUCCUUCAUUAACGAGCAGAUAUGCUGGUUUAUCGCUUUAAAAACUUUAUCAAUAAGUUACUAUCGAGUUUUUCAAUAAUUUUUGGCCAUUAUGUUGUUGUUUUCAAGCAGUGAUAGACUGAUAGUAAUAGUUUAUGGCCAAUUUAAUUAGGUAGAUGUCUAUUUGUCACGAUUUAUCAUGACCCACAUGCUUAAUGUUUAAAAUUGGAAAUUAAAUUUAAAGUUGGGUUGAUGAACUGCUCAGUUAAAUUUCCCAUUUUUAAAUGGGGUGGAAGUUAUUGCGAAAAAAAUAAAAAUAAAUAAUCCACUUUUCUUGCUAGAAACAAGCGGUGAUGUCUAUGUGAAAAGAAGCAAGGGUCCGCCGCCUAGCCCUACUAAUUCCCCGUACAAUUUUUUCUUAAAAAACCCAUAUUUUUAUUCCAUCCAGUGAGUGGACAUAAAGUGGAAAUUGGUUUGAGGCAUUGUUGGAUGUAUGAGAUUCAUAAAUUUCAAAUAAAUCUUGAACAUAGAGUUAGGAGCUUGCAUCAAUUUUUUUAUUCACCCCCAAGAUUCUUCAUUGAGAAAAUAUCAUGACGAAUCCAAAUUUUUUUGUGAAAAACCAUUGGUCGCUAAUGAAACAAAAUUUACUAUAAGAUAUUUUAUUUAGACUCGGACUCUGAUAUAGAAGUGGAAGCCCACCUUCCCCUAAUUUCACCUUAGAUGUCGACUCCCCUCAUGUACCCACCUCGGAGAGCCAGUGAGUUCGGAAUUUGUGUACAUGGGUAUACCUAGGAAACAGUUAAUAACUAGUCGAGGGAGAUGAUCAAUCCUAGUUAAAUGUGGAUUAUUGUAGGUAAGAUGCUUGGUCUCUUGGCCGCCUGAAUUCACCAAUAAGAAGUUUAUGCGACAAUCUAGACUGUUAGCCUAUGUUUCAGGCAAUCAUCGCGUCCCCAUUGUCAUUCAGACCAACCAAUCACCAACGAUUGAAUUGACCGUGACACACAAAUCAAGGUCAAACACUAUAGCAUAAAAUGACCAUGACAAUUUGAGUUGUACUCCUACAAAGGAAAUAUUCUCCAUUUGUAGACAGAAUUUUUCUACCAUAAUACACUAAUAACACAUAUUAUUGAGCUCGGAUCUAAUAUUAGUUCAAUUUCUAAACUUUUUUAAUCUUUUAACAAUACCUUGUAAUUUGGAUCAAGAAAGUGAUGUCAUUUUUAAAUUGGAAAUUAAAUUUAAAGUUGGGUUGAUGAACUGCUCAGUUAAAUUUCCCAUUUUUAAAUGGGGUGGAAGUUAUUGCGAAAAAAAUAAAAAUAAAUAAUCCACUUUUCUUGCUAGAAACAAGCGGUGAUGUCUAUGUGAAAAGAAGCAAGGGUCCGCCGCCUAGCCCUACUAAUUCCCCGUACAAUUUUUUCUUAAAAAACCCAUAUUUUUAUUCCAUCCAGUGAGUGGACAUAAAGUGGAAAUUGGUUUGAGGCAUUGUUGGAUGUAUGAGAUUCAUAAAUUUCAAAUAAAUCUUGAACAUAGAGUUAGGAGCUUGCAUCAAUUUUUUUAUUCACCCCCAAGAUUCUUCAUUGAGAAAAUAUCAUGACGAAUCCAAAUUUUUUUGUGAAAAACCAUUGGUCGCUAAUGAAACAAAAUUUACUAUAAGAUAUUUUAUUUAGACUCGGACUCUGAUAUAGAAGUGGAAGCCCACCUUCCCCUAAUUUCACCUUAGAUGUCGACUCCCCUCAUGUACCCACCUCGGAGAGCCAGUGAGUUCGGAAUUUGUGUACAUGGGUAUACCUAGGAAACAGUUAAUAACUAGUCGAGGGAGAUGAUCAAUCCUAGUUAAAUGUGGAUUAUUGUAGGUAAGAUGCUUGGUCUCUUGGCCGCCUGAAUUCACCAAUAAGAAGUUUAUGCGACAAUCUAGACUGUUAGCCUAUGUUUCAGGCAAUCAUCGUGUCCCCAUUGUCGUUCAGACCAACCAAUCACCGACGAUUGAAUUGACUGUGACACACAAAUCAAGGUCAAACACUAUAGCAUAAAAUGACCAUGACAAUUUGAGUUGUACUCCUACAAAGGAAAUAUUCUCCAUUUGUAGACAGAAUUUUUCUACCAUAAUACACUAAUAACAAAUAUUAUUGAGCUCGGAUCUAAAAUUAGUUCAAUUUCUAAACUUUUUUAAUCUUUUAACAAUACCUUGUAAUUUGGAUCAAGAAAGUGAUGUCAUUUUUUUUUUAUCUCAACAUCUUUCACACACAAAACACCCAAGAUCAAUCUCCUCCAAGCCUCACAAGACAAUAACUAGUUCAAGAAUUAAGAAAAUUUUCUCUCUUAUUCUUUCUCGAUUGUUUUGUGCAGUUUUUCCUAAACAUUGUCCUACUCUCUUAAACCUCUUCAUUUUACUUUGUAUUUGACAUAGACCAAAAAAAAAAAAAAAGAAGAAGAAGAAAGGAAACACCUACACAAAUAAAGAGGGGGGUAGAGAUUUGAUUACUAUUUUUGAAAGAGUUUUAUUAAUAUAUGUAUAUGUGGUUAUGAAUUAAUUUAUGAUCACUAUCUGAGGGUCGACUGUAGGAAGGAAAUUAACAAUAUGUUUGGUGUGAAUGUGUUCUCUAUGGAGACAACAAGUGCCCACCAAAGACAUGAAACGGGUUGCAUGCCAUGUGAAGGAUUUUGUAGUUGCCGCUAUCAAAUCACCUUAUCUGGAUUAGAAAGCGGGUCCGCCCUAUCAAUGCAUUUUUAGGUUUAAUUAUUAAUUAAUUAUGUCUGAUUUAAGGCUUUAUUAUUAAUAUUAAUCUAAAACUAGCAAUUAUCAUGGUUAACCAUAUCCAGUUUUGAAUUUAAUUGCGUUUGGAAACCAAAUACUACGUCUUGUUUGGCUCCAUUUUUUAAAGCUUAUUUUUAACCAUACGUUUUAUCGGACCAAUAAAUUUUAUCAACUUUUAAACCACACAUUACAUCUAUUUUUAUCAAAAUUUACUAAAAUUUUUAUUAUUAGCCAAUGUUCUUAUCAAAAAAAAUACAAUUAAAGUUUGUAUGCAAAUAAGCACGUGUUUGGCCCUCAUUUAUUUUUUUUCAAACUCAUUUUUAACCAAAUGCUGUUAAUAAAUAACUUUGCACGUUGACUCAUAUAUAUAUAUAUAUAUAUUUUUUUUUUUUUUCAUAUUUGUUAACUACAGAUCCUUUAAAAAAAAUAUUUUUUACAAAAUUUAUUCUAAAAAUUUCUCUGCCAAAACAUGGAUUAAAUCAGGGUAAGUUUGAGUUCGACCAUGUAUCAGAAUUAAGAAAUCAUAAAAAUUUCUGAUUGGUCCUUGAUUUAAUCCUUAUUUGUUCGCAAAAAUGGGCGUUCUUGAGGUUAAAAUUUGUAUCUGUCUUCUAUCUUGAGUUACACAUCGAAAAACGACGAAGGAUGCGUGAGGAGCUUGUAGAGUAUAUUAUUUACAGUUAACAAAACUAUUAUGUGAUAAUCCAAUUUGGACUACAGUGGAGUUAUGUUUGAAAUGAAUUUAUCUCGUGAUAUGUAGACAAAUGGACUUGAUAGAAUUUGUCUUUUAAUUUUGGAUAAAAUAGUUCAAUAUAAUGUUAAUGCGAAUGAAAGUCUUAAAACCAUCCCAAUAUUCUUGAAUUGCUAAAAUAAUUUUACCGCAUUAACAAAAAUAGACAAUUCCAAGGUUUGACACUCUUUUGACACUUGAUUUUUUUCACCAAGUAAGCAACAUCUUUCCUACCUCAAUACUCAAAAGUCUUAUUUGCAGAGAAGAUUUUUAUUUUGAACUGCUUCUAUAACUGCAAAUGCAUCUUUCUCCACCAUAAAAAAUUUAGAAGAAAAUGUGGAUGAGGUUUAUAAGCAUCGUCUAGAUUCAAAAAACCUAUUAGACAUAUUAACUCAUCAGAAUUUAUUUAACCUAUGAAGAGUAGGUAUGAUGAUUUUUUUUUUUUAAUAUUAGGAAAAUAAAAGACACAUAAACACCAUUAUUGAAUUGUAGAUAGAACUUAUUUGAGAUCAAUUUUUUGGGCUUGAGCAUCUAUUAAUUACACAUCCAUGCUGCAUAUCAUGGAAGAUAAAAUUAGAAUAUUUUUUUUAGUGCAUGCUGAAAAUAAAAUCUAAAUAAAAGAAUUUGUCUUUUAUUUUGGUCUCUUUGAAAAAUUUUAAAGUAGAGUUUUUUGAGGUUUGUUUAGAAGGUAAAUAAACCUCUAUUUGAUAGGGUUCUUUAAAACCAUAAUAUUCAUAAAAUAUCCUCUUCAACUAAAGUCAAAAUAAUGAUGAAAGAAAUAUUAUUAAAGCAAAUACAUACAGACGGAGAAAUAUAUGAAGAAGAGUUUGAAAAUUAAGGAUUACCUUUUAUUGUGGGUUUUAUGAAUUUAGUAUAUCAAUGAUUCUUAAUUUGUAUUUGGGUUAUUUUGAAAAUGUGCAUUUUUGAAUUCAAGUAGUAUCAGUAAGAAAUUUCAUUUCGAAUUAUUUGAGUUUUUUGUUGGGAUUAUUUUUCUUUUUUUGAAUUGAAAAUUACAUUGAUAACUAUUUUUCUGCUAGGAUUAUCAAAACAACAAUUUAAUUUUUUGCAAGGAUUUUUUUCUUGAUUUUCUUAGAUUCAAAACAAUGGUGGCUAAUCUGCUAGAUUAUCAAAAUAAGUAAAAAUAAUAAUAAUAAUAAAUAAAUAAAAAAUGAAAGUUCAUAAAUGACAAUGAUUGAAAAUAUGAAAGGAUUAUAAAGGAAUUAUGAUAUGGUAGAUAUAUAAAAAUGGUGCGAUAAAUAUAUAAAAUGAUAUGGAUGUACAGAUUUAUAAUAUGGUGCAGAUAGAUAUAUGAAAGGAUUCAGGGAAUAGCAUUGGAAUAUAUAUAUAUAUAGUCUUGAUGAAUAAUGUUAAAAUGAAUGAAUUUGAAUAAGGACGAUAUUGAAUGUCAUGUGGAUAAAAAUAGUAAUUUUUCAAAAUUUAAAAUUUUAGUAGGAACAGAUAUAGAGUGAGAUGGAUAUAUAAAUAGGGGCUCCCUAAUUUUUUUUCUAAUUUUUAAUUACCUAUUCUCCAAAAAAUUCACUUUUAACAAAAUAUACAUCGAACAGUCUUGAAUUUCAAUGUAUAUCAAUUAUUUAUUCUAAAUAUCGUCCUUGCAACAUGAAGAAAGAUAGAUAUAAAUAUUUGUUCCCUGACAUGUUGGGACACAUCCCGCGAUUUGCCCCCCUCACAAAGCUCUAGGGGCAGGGCGAUGGGGCCCCUCAAGGUUGGGGUUCGACUUUUUUUUAUAUAAAAAUAAAAAAUAAAAAGAAUCCAAUUCCCAUAACAGGCACUCCGUUAUUUCUAAAAAUAAGAGCCUAAACUAUUCAUCGAGUUAUGUUGAUCAGAUACACUAAAAAUAGCGAGACCAGACCAUAUUAGGGUUCCAAACUUUCUGUACCGCGAAUUCUCUACGCAUUACACGAGAAACCAAGCAUAUGAUCUGUUUCUUGUUGAUAGUAUGCAUGCAACAGUACAUAGCCCUUAACCCUAAUUAAUCCCCCGUCACUCAUACGCUUAUGUUGUCUUAUAUUGGAGCAAGCAAAUCACGAUUUACUUUGCAGCCCAAAUAAUCAUUUCUGCAAAAAGAUGCUGAAGACACUGAUGGUGACUCUAUGUCCCCAGGCGGGUCCCCUGCAGGCAAGUUUACUUACAGAAUUUUGCCGUAUAGAGAUUGCACAUCUGCUAUGAAUCUGACCAUUUAAAUUUUUGCCUAUAAAUAGGAUAUUCUUGCAGUUUAAGAGCCAGAACGCAGAAAGAUUUAUUAAUAUUCUAAAACCGUUAAUUUGUAGUUAAGAUGGCUGCUUUGCCCACAAAGCAUAUUGUUUUGCUAGUUCUUUUAGUGUUUUGCAUCGUCUCGACCUGUUCUCAAGGUAGGAUUUAUGUUUCUUUCUUUGUUCACUUUCCCCCCGUUUUUUUUUCUAGGUUUAGAGAACUAAUUUUUGAAAUGGGAUUUCAUUUCUGUUUGUCUUAAUUUCUGCAGCAAGGCGUUUAAAAAUGGAGAGUCCUCGACCAGUUAAUACCGAGAAUGAUAAAGGAAUUCUUGGAACAAAACAAGAACUCCCUGAUGUUGAAGAUUUAGCAGCAAUGGAUUACACUCCUGCGAGAAAGAAAACUCCAAUUCAUAACUAGAAUGGUGAACUUUGUUAAACAAAUUAGUCUCCUUUUGCUACACACAUGUAUGCUGCCUAUAUAUAUGUAUAGAAGUGCAUAAUAUAUUGGAUAUAUAAUAAGAGAUGUAUAUCCACAGAGACUGCUUAGAUUAGGAAUAGGGAAUCCCCCAGUUAGGGUUUUUGAGAUAUGUUGUCUCUUGUGCACAACCUGACUGUGAAUAUAUUACAGAAAACAUAUAUAUUUCUAAUAAAAAUGUUGGGCGUUAUGCAAUAUUUUAGCCUCAUUUUGUUCAUAUAUACAUAUAAUUUAGAAAUAGC
rnacentral:lncRNA from 1 species